rnacentral:rRNA from 1 species
UCCAGACUCCUACGGGAGGCAGCAGUGGGGAAUAUUGCACAACGGGGGAAACCCUGAUGCAGCAACGCCGCGUGAGUGAAGAAGUAUUUCGGUAUGUAAAGCUCUAUCAGCAGGGAAGAAGAUGACGGUACCUGACUAAGAAGCCCCGGCUAACUACGUGCCAGCAGCCGCGGUAAUACGUAGGGGGCAAGCGUUAUCCGGAUUUACUGGGUGUAAAGGGAGCGUAGACGGUGAAGCAAGUCUGAAGUGAAAGGCGGGGGCUCAACCCCCGGACUGCUUUGGAAACUGUUUGACUGGAGUGCAGGAGAGGUAAGUGGAAUUCCUAGUGUAGCGGUGAAAUGCGUAGAUAUUAGGAGGAACACCAGUGGCGAAGGCGGCUUACUGGACUGUAACUGACGUUGAGGCUCGAAAGCGUGGGGAGCAAACAGGAUUAGAUACCCGUGUAC